UACGAAGGGGGCUAGCGUUGUUCGGAAUUACUGGGCGUAAAGCGCACGUAGGCGGAUCGAUCAGUCAGGGGUGAAAUCCCAGGGCUCAACCCUGGAACUGCCUUUGAUACUGUCGAUCUGGAGUAUGGAAGAGGUGAGUGGAAUUCCGAGUGUAGAGGUGAAAUUCGUAGAUAUCGGGAGGAACACCAGUGGCGAAGGCGGCGACCUGGGCCAAUAUUGACGCUGAGGUGCGAAAGCGUGGGGAGCAAACAGG
rnacentral:rRNA from 1 species